AUUUUGGUGAUGUGUUGAUGUGGUUGUCAAAUAAUCAGCAUUAUUCAUGAUAGCAAUGGUUGACUUUUGUAGGUCAUAGUGAGGCAUCAGUAUUAAUCUCAGUAUGUUGCAUAACUGGUGAAAAACUCCCCAAUGUUGGUUUAAAUGAGUUCAAGAACUACGACCAAACACCACUUCCUUAUGUAGAUUGUUCAGAUAUUACACUCUGCUUACUCAGGACUCUCAAGAUGCAUAAUCUUUUAUCUACACAGAUUUGAAAUCCACAAGCUCAGGACAUUGUUUGACUGUGAGAAAAGACUAACAGCACUAACAAAAAGUCAGACAACUGCCUGGAAACAACAGAGAUGAGAGCAAUUCAGAUGUGUGGGUGUUCGUCAGCUGUUAUCAGGGCUGUCCUCGUCACUGAUUGUCUGCUGAUGAUUGUCAGAGGAGAUGGAGAAGACUCUACAGAAAAAACUCCAGAAUUAAGUACAACAGUCCAAGAUAUGACGUAUAUUUGGAUCGGAGCUGGGGUCGGCCUCUUAUUGGUUGCUGGAUACAUUAUUUUCCAGGUCUGCAUCAUGAGGAGGUAUAUGAACGAAAGCACAGAUGCUAGAGUCUAAACCUUUAGAGCAGCCUCACCAGCUUGCCAUAAUGCCGUCUCAGCCAAUCAGAACAUCCCGCGCCAUUGGUGUCCAAUGACAUGCAGUGUUAAAGGUCAACAGAGUGAAUCUUCUGCAGGAUGAUGUGAAACCUGCAGAAGAGGCAUGUGGGGAGUAUACGAUCAACCAGGCGGACAGUUUCCCCCUCAAGUUUUCACACACAAAACACUGUUAUAGAUCUGUUUUAUAUCUUAUGAUGACGAAUCGAUUGACAAUAACAUGUAGCAAUGUGGUUUUCAAACAAGUAUUUUAAGAUAAUAUGAGAAAAGUGUUUUCAUUUGGCUGCUGAGUGUUGUGUUGUUUGAUUAAAUCUUAAUUUUAAAGCCUGAA